AUUGAACGCUGGCGGCAGGCCUAACACAUGCAAGUCGAGCGAGCGGAGGACGGGUGAGUAAUGUCUGGGAAUCUGCCCGAUAGAGGGGGAUAACUACUGGAAACGGUCGCUAAUACCGCAUACUCUCGGAUGAGCCCAUAUGGGAUUAGCUAGUAGGUGGGGUAAAGGCUCACCUAGGCGACGAUCCCUAGCUGGUCUGAGAGGAUGAUCAGCCACACUGGAACUGAGACACGGUCCAGACUCCUACGGGAGGCAGCAGUGGGGAAUAUUGCAAAAUGGGCGCAAGCCUGAUGCAGCAAUGCCGCGUGUAUGAAGAAGGCCUUCGGGUUGUAAAGUACUUUCAGCGAGGAGGCGUUACUCGCAGAAGAAGCACCGGCUAACUCCGUGCCAGCAGCCGCGGUAAUAC
rnacentral:rRNA from 1 species